GGUAUAGCUCAGUGUUAGAGCCUAUGUUUAGGAUACUAAAGGCCCUGAGUUCAAUCCCCAGCACCA
rnacentral:tRNA from 1 species